rnacentral:rRNA from 1 species
GACGAACGCUGGCGGCGUGCUUAACACAUGCAAGUCGAGCGGUAAGGCCCUUUCGGGGGUACACGAGCGGCGAACGGGUGAGUAACACGUGGGUGACCUGCCCUCAGCUCUGGGAUAAGCCUGGGAAACCGGGUCUAAUACCGGAUAUGACUCCAUGACGCAUGUUGUGGGGUGGAAAGCCUUGUGCGGCUGAGGAUGGGCCCGUGGCCCUAUCAGCUUGUUGGUGGGGUGAUGGCCUACCAAGGCGACGACGGGUAGCCGGCCUGAGAGGGCGACCGGGCCACACUGGGACUGAGACACGGCCCAGACUCCUACGGGAGGCGAGCAGUGGGGAAUCUUGCGCAAUGGGCGAAAGCCUGACGCAGCGACGCCGCGUGA